rnacentral:misc_RNA from 1 species
AACUAGUGAAAAGAAAGGAAGCCAUUGGUGAAUGGUGAGCAAAACGUUACCCUUCUCUCUGAACUCGAAGCUUUGCCUCUGGCUACAGCCUACAGGCAUCCCUCAUUGCGAACUAGUUUCGCUUUCGGGUCAUUGAUCUUUAUUUUCUUCCUCUUAUUCUUUUAAUUGGAAAAUUUAAAGAUUUUUCAACAAAGAUAUAAUGAAGAUUGGAAGCUGUGGUGGCAUUACUAGACCCAGUUUUUUGCUUGUACAUGCAGAUUUGCCCAUUUUUGCAUAUCAUAAACUGCAGUUGAAACCAGUGCCACCUCUUGGGAUUCCUAUUGACUACAUGAAGGGGAUUGGCUUAAUUACAAAAUUUCGGUGUUCUGUUGCUGAGAGAACAUUCACAUUUAGCUCUGAGGAUUCAUUUGCAUCCAAGAUAAACAAUGUUCGUUUGGGUCAGAAGAAAGGACGUUCCUCCUCACUUUAUACUCAUCCUAGUUUGCUAGACAUGAAAAACAUGAAGGUAGCAAAUCGUGCCAGGGUUUAUGAGUUACUGAGAAGUAUUGGCAUUGUCCCUGAUGAACUUGAUGGGUUGGAACUUCCUGUGACAGUUGAUGUUAUGAGGGAACGUGUGGAUUUCCUUCACCAAUUAGGUCUUACAAUUGAAGACAUUAACAACUAUCCUCUUGUUCUUGGUUGCAGUGUCAAAAAGAACAUGAUUCCUGUUCUUGACUAUCUUGGCAAAUUGGGUGUUAGGAAAUCUUCCUUCACAGAUUUCUUAAGAAGAUACCCACAAGUCCUUCAUGCUAGCGUUGUUGUAGACCUUGCUCCAGUGGUCAAAUAUCUUCAAGGAAUGGAUAUCAAGCCAAAUGAUAUUCCUCGGGUGCUUGAGAGAUACCCAGAAGUUCUGGGAUUCAAGCUUGAAGGGACCAUGAGCACAUCAGUGGCUUAUCUGGUAGGAAUUGGGGUGGCAAGGAGAGAAAUUGGAGGUGUUUUAACCAGAUACCCAGAGAUAUUGGGGAUGCGAGUAGGCCGUGUAAUCAAGCCUUUUGUGGAGUAUCUUGAGAGUUUGGGUAUACCAAGACUAGCUGUAGCUAGAUUGAUAGAGAAGCGGCCACACAUCCUUGGUUUUGGAUUAGAGGAAUUGAUUAAACCAAACGUUGAAGCCCUUCUAGAGAUUAAUGUAAGGAAAACCUCAGUUCCUUCUGUGGUAGCACAAUAUCCUGAGAUUAUUGGAAUUGACCUGAAGGCAAAGCUUCUCAGCCAACAAAGUUUGCUUCAUUCAGUCAUUGAGUUGGGUCCCGAGGAUUUUGCUAGAGUUGUGGAGAAGAUGCCGCAAGUUGUCAGCCUUAGUAGAGUUCCUAUAUUGAAGCAUGUGGACUUCCUUAAGGAUUGUGGGUUUUCCUUGCAACAAGUGGGGGAAAUGGUUGUGGGAUGUCCUCAAGUGCUUGCUUUGAAUAUUGAUGUCAUGAAACUUAGCUUUGAUUACUUUAAAAUGGAGAUGGAAAGACCUUUGGAUGAUUUGGUUACUUUCCCAGCAUUCUUUACAUAUGGUCUCGAGUCUACUAUAAAGCCAAGGCAUAAAAGGAUUGUGAAGAAGGGGCUGAAAUGUUCACUUUCAUGGCUUCUUAAUUGUUCUGAUGCGAAGUUUGAAGAAAGAAUGGACUAUGAGACCAUUGACAUGGAGGAGAUGGAAAUGCCAUCAUUUGACAUGAAUACUUUUAUGGAGCCGAGGAGUGAUGGGUCUGAUUUUGACUAUGAUGAGGACAGUGAAGAUGCGCGUGUAUAGAACUAUGAAUCAACUUUUGGCAAUGGUCUGCCAUGGAGAAUCUUGGCUUUGUGAAAAUGGCUCUUCAUGUGAAGUAGUUGUUAACUUUAGAGGUAAGUUCUUCUUGUUGAAGCAUUUUGUCGAUAUAUCUCAAAUUAAGCAAUGUUAACUAACUAAUAAGAAGGUUAAUUCCUAGGCUAGUGGCAGCGCCUGAGGAAUCAGUCCAUGGGAUGAUUAGGGAGAUUUGGCUUGGUGGGCUUAGGAUGGGGCCCAUGAAGGGGAAUGUUUUGGACUUCCCUCUUGACCUCAUAGUGGAGUUGUGAAUUAGGCCUAAAGGGUGAUAAAAAGACAAAUUUCAAUAUCUGCUAGAUCUUGACACAUGGCACACCAUCAAUGGUCCUAAAGCCCCUACACCUACACUAUAAAUAGCUUUAUUUAUGACAUUUAAGAUAUUCCUUGAACGCAUCAAUCAGAUCAUGACAUCCUUGCAAACAUUCCUUCAUCAUUACUUUACCUAAUAACCCCCAAUCUGUCAUGUACACCAAGUCCACUGGGUGUGCCCAUCGUUCCUCCCACGCCUCUCACUGCUUCAUCUCUCUCUAAGGCAUCCCAAGUAAGACUAACCCUCUCCUCCCAUUUCCCUUAACUACCCUAAGAACCCCUGCAUCUACACAUUUUAAAGUGCAAGAGGAUUUAUACUUUUGUAUUUUCAUGCAGAAUGACUUAGAAUCUGGUGCUUCAAAACAUUUUUGCUUCUAUAUAUAUACUUUUCUUCCAUUGCCUUGCAAUUAUAUUUGAUUUCAAAUGGAAGGACCUUAUUUAUUUGCCACACGGAGUGUGCAUGAACCAUCUUGAUUUUAUUGAUCUGGUUGAUCUUAGAGUUAAUCUAAUGGAAAACAAAUAUGCAUAAUGGCUUGUCACUGUAUUUCAUUAUCAGAAAUAGUAUAAAUGUUCUGUCCAUGAAUCAUGAGGAGGAUAAGAAAGGGAAAAGAGUGGUGGCUACUAGAAUAGUAAUUGUGAUGAACAUGAUUUACGUAAGCAUAGUAGUUUCUUGUGAAUAUUUGAAAUCUGCAUAAAAGAACUUAAUAUGUAAGGUCGAGGAUAAACAGUUUGACAGUGUGAAAGCAAACAGAUUUCUAAGUGAAUUAUUAUUUGAAGGUGGAAUCAUAAUCUUUCAAUUUGAAGACAAAAUGUGCAAAAUGCAAAUAGAUCUAUUUCUUGACUCACUUUCUCCAUGUAGGAAUUAUGAAGCAUUGUUUCAUGGGAAGUUAUUUGAGCAACUAAAGAGAUUGGAUCUAAUAAACCAAAUAUUCUACAAUGAACAUCAAAGGUAGGCUAGGACAAGUAAUGCUGUUUGUGUAUUGUAAUUCAUGGUGUUUCAAUAACGAAAAAAGUUCAGGAUAAUAUAACAAGUUUACUUAACCUUGGUAUAUAUUUUAGUGUUGUAGUUAGUAGGAUCUCUCUGGGUCACACUUAAUUUAACCUAAAUUGUGGGCAUCUGGAUUUGUAUGAGGUUCUGCUGUUGCACUCUUAUGUUGUUUUACCUGUACAUUGUGUUUUUAUCACUGUUGAUUAUUAACAUGAUUGGGACUACUUCUUACAGCUGGUCUUUGGUGGAAUGAACAUUGAGAGUACAUGGGCUGCUUUUGGUGGGCAUUCAGGUUUUGUAAGUAGAUGUGAAGCAAUUGAGAUAGGCACAAUAACAUUAAUCCAAGAUGUUUCCCUCUUUUCUGUAUUAAUAUCAUUUUCCUCCAUGAACGCUUGGUUCCCCUAUGUAAAGAAAAGAAGCAUUUUUCCAACUUGUAAUCCAAAAUUUUGAAGAUUCCUUUACUAUUGUUGGCCUUUAUGCCAUGUUGGUGUGCUUUAUUUAGUGGAAUCAGUUCGUAGGGAUGCUUUCAUAACUUCAACUUUGGUUCGUUUCUUGC